rnacentral:sRNA from 1 species
GGUGAGGGCACAGUUUGGGGUUUGGGGCGGUCAGGGCUGCGGGGCCCGAUGGCUGGUCCAGCCCCUCGUGUGCCUGCCCAGGCUCCCCGUUCCGGGAUGAGAUCACACUGGCCAUCCUGCAGCUUCAGGAGAACAACCGGCUGGAGAUCCUGAAGCGCAAGUGGUGGGAGGGGGGCCGGUGCCCCAAGGAGGAGGACCAUCGAGCUAAAGGUUUGGGCAUGGAGAACAUUGGUGGCAUUUUUGUCGUGCUCAUCUGUGGCCUCAUCAUUGCUGUCUUCGUGGCGGUCAUGGAAUUCAUAUGGUCCACACGGAGGUCAGCUGAGUCCGAGGAGGUGUCGGUGUGCCAGGAGAUGCUGCAGGAGCUGCGCCACGCCGUUUCUUGCCGCAAG